rnacentral:piRNA from 1 species
UAGCCCAUAUAAAAGUAGGAGAGAGUU